rnacentral:rRNA from 1 species
GACGAACGCUGGCGGCGUGCCUAACACAUGCAAGUUGAGCGACGAACCAGGGCUUGCCCUGGGGCAAAGCAGCGAACGGGUGAGUAACACGUGGGUAACGUGCCCCGAUAACCGGGACAACCCGAGGAAACUCGGGCUAAUACCGGAUGUGCCCACCAGACAUCAGUCUGGUGUAGUAAAGGAAGCUUCGGCCUCCGUAUCGGGAGCGGCCCGCGGCCCAUUAGCUUGUUGGUGAGGUAACGGCNCACCAAGGCAACGAUGGGUAGCUGGUCUGAGAGGACGAUCAGCCACACUGGGACUGAGACACGGCCCAGACUCCUACGGGAGGCAGCAGUGGGGAAUCUUGCGCAAUGCGCGAAAGCGUGACGCAGCAACGCCGCGUGGGG